rnacentral:rRNA from 1 species
GACGAACGCUGGCGGCGUGCCUAAUACAUGCAAGUAGAACGCACAGUUUAUACCGUAGCUUGCUACACCAUAGACUGUGAGUUGCGAACGGGUGAGUAACGCGUAGGUAACCUGCCUGGUAGCGGGGGAUAACUAUUGGAAACGAUAGCUAAUACCGCAUAAUAUUAAUUAUUGCAUGAUAAUUAAUUGAAAGGUGCAAUUGCACCACUACCAGAUGGACCUGCGUUGUAUUAGCUAGUAGGUGAGGUAACGGCUCACCUAGGCGACGAUACAUAGCCGACCUGGGAGGGUGAUCGGCCACACUGGGACUGCGACACGGCCCAGACUCCUACGGGAGGCAGCAGUAGGGAAUCUUCGGCAAUGGACGAAAGUCUGACCGAGCAACGCCGCGUGAGUGAAGAAGGUUUUCGGAUCGUAAAGCUCUGUUGUAAGAGAAGAACGGGUGUGAGAGUGGAAAGUUCACACUGUGACGGUAUCUUACCAGAAAGGGACGGCUAACUACGUG